CAAAAUUUUGACGGGCGUAUAAAAACGACGAAAAAUGACAGUGUAGUCGCAUUUAUAUCAUAUUGUCAGUUGAUCUAAACACGUUGUUAUGUAAGAAUCCAACAUUAUUUUCUGUAUACAUUUUUUUCAAAUUUCAAUAAAUGUAGGGAACAAAUAUACCUUCAUCAUAAUAACAUCAAUUUCAUUAAAGUUUAUUGUUAAAGACUUAAUUAAAGCCAUAACUUCUUUUUAGAACCACUGUAUAGCUAGUGAAGACCCAGCCGACAAUGCCUUCCCAGUGUAAUGCAAAACUGACUUAAAAAAGCUAGCAGCGCCUCUUUUAAAUCGUGUCCAAUACCUUCCAGUACUAAACCUGUAUUUGACUUUGUCAUUCAGUAUAUUAACGAUAAGAUGCUGGCUUCCACUACCUAUCUUGAAUUUAAACGGUUCUUCAUUAUUUUCGCCUUCGACGUAUAUUGAUAUUCGAGCACU
rnacentral:lncRNA from 1 species